CCGUGCACGGAGCAAGCUCGCCCACUCUCAUCGGCCGGAAAACUGCUUUAUCAUCCUCCUGCACCACGAUGAUCUUGACAGUGACCGUAGCGAUCAAUGGCGCCGUCAAUUAGGCGAAUCGCGUACUCGAAUUUAUGGCUCAGUGGACAACAAUGUUUGAAAACGGCAAAUCACGCGUGAUUCUGAAAAUCUGUUAACCGUGAUCUAUCAAUAUAUUUUUAAAGAAUUGUUUCGUCCUAUUUUGAAUCUUCAUUCAAAUAUUUAAUUUAACUGAAAUUUUAUUAAACGACUGAUUGUUCAUGCAGAUUAUAUUUGUUUUGUGUUACGUAGAAGUGAAAACCUGUCGUGAAGAAUUAUGUGGAAAGCUUGAACAAGAUUUUAUUACGAACGUUUAAAAACAAGAUUGACAAAAUCGAUAUUAAGAAAUGUUUUUCAAAAAUAUAACGCAUUUUCCAAGAAACAAUUUGAAAUAUUUCUUUUCAGAAAAAUCUUUUGAAAAAAUUCGCUGAAAAAUUUAUAAUAACUAGAUUCGUUAACCUUUGUAAUUGAACUCUUUAUUUCUUUGAAACUUAUGGAGAAGAGCAAGUCCGUUUAUAAUAAAGUUAAUGCAUGAUUUUUAUUUCGUCUGCACAAAACGAGAUUCGAAACUUUGAAUAUGAUCGGAAACAAGGUGGAUCAAUUUAUUGCAAAUCUAUAGAACUAAAUUGUAUUGAAGAAACUAUAAUGAAAAAUGACAAAUGCUCGUCGAUAAUCGAUAAUAAAAAUACAGUACUGUUUCAAAUAAGUUUCGAAGCAUAAAAGUUCCAUUGGUUUACUGAAUGAUGCAAAUCGAGUUUCGCCACGUCGAAGGAAGAAAGCGUAAACGUUAAAUCGAACGAUAGACAGGGCGUCAGAAUCCGUGAGAACCCCCCCAGGAAACCGGAAGUGUACGAAAUUAGUCCAAUUUUGUGCGCGACAAGUGGAAAAACGUUGGCCAUUGGCGACUCCAUCGUUGUUCUCGAGGGCACACGCGUGCCGCAACGAGAAUCCGCUAGGUGACUCGCGUGUGUAUUCAUCGCUUGAACCCCGAUUAGCCUGCUAGAGGGCCUAAUAACAAGUAAUACCCUAGUCGCGUCAUCGAGCUUAAAGAGAUUUCGCAACAGCUCGCGAUCUCUUAUAUGUUCUAACUAUUUGACUGUCUAUUUGCUUGCUGAUCUAACAUUCUAACAUCGAUAAAAUGUUACGGUCAACAGAAUUGCAGAAAAAAAUAUCAGUUGAAAUCAAUGAUAAACAUUUAUAUGUACGUGACACGAUGAAAUGAAGAACGAAUGGCGUGUUUUCUACUCGGCGAUAAAUCUGUGGCUUCUUAUCUGUCAACAGAAGAUUACCACGAUCGUUUGGCGAUGUUGUAACAGCCUGACAGUACGGAAUGAACGGACAUUGCUAGACAUUUCUCCGAUGAACGAAUAUAUCACGUGAUCUAAACAUAUGCGUUCUCCGAACGUCAUUGCUUCGAUUCAUGACCUGUAGACACAUUGAUGUUUUUCAAUUUAACUCAGAUUUAAAUGUUUUUAUGUAUAUAUUAUUCAUAUACACGAAUCUUAAUUUAAUAUAAUACGGUUGAUGUAUGAGCCAAAUUAUGUUUGUAAAUAAAUACAUAAAUACAUAUAAAUCAAUAAGCGAAUCUAUUUUCAUUUCGUUGAUUUGUCACGAGUUAAAUUGAAAGACUUACACAAUUCUUGAUGCACAAAAGAAUAUUUACACAAAAUAACUCGUAAUUAAAAUAUAAAGAAACUUUUCUAAAGGUCAUAUAUUUUAAUAGGUUUAGAAAGUUUAUAUAGAUUUAGAAAAUUUAUCAAGAUUUCGAUAAAAAUCAUCUCUAUUUUUCGAUCAAUAAAAAUUAAUUUAAUUCAUUUAAAAAUUUCGAAAACGAAAGUAUAAUAAAAAUUUCUCUCUUAUAUGCCCAGAUACCUUAAUGAUUAUAAUUUUAAAAUACUUCGACUGUUGAACAACGCGAACUCGUAGGUAGACACAUUGGCUGCACACCUACGUAUUUCUAAAUAAGUCUUAUUCGUAGGUUGGUUGCAGUAUGGAAGCAAAAUUCAUAUCUUCUCCGAUCUAUUCGAUGAUUAUUAUUUUGUAUUAUUAUCUAAAUUCGAAUCUUUAUUGACAAGAAGAAUACAAUGUUUAUAAGAUGAUGAAUGUAUGUUUCUAUUAAUCUUUUUCACAAUAUUACCUACGUACAACUAUAUAUACCAAUAUUACGAAUAAAAACUGCACUUUUCAUUGACAAAUAUUUACAAUGAGUAUAUAUCAACACUCCUAGGAUGCUCUUAAAUACUGCAAUCACUGGCACAAGUUUCUCCUGAGUACAUAAUUUCUGAAUAUAUUUCUCCGCUUUAGUCUUUGCCACAGACUCUAUGCAGUACAUAAAUUCAGCAUGAAACCGGACUAUGGUUACAAUCUUACUGACAAAGUAUUGCGAUAUAACACGUACCACGUAGAUAACUUUAAUGGUAACACAUAUAACUUUAAAUUAAUAAAGACUAUUUGUUUGUUUUCCAAAUAAA